rnacentral:rRNA from 1 species
UGCCGCUUGCGAGGGCGUAUGGUGGAUGCCUUGGCAGACAGUACCGAUGAAGGACGUUUGAGGAUGCGAUAAUCCUAGGGGAGCCUCCAACAUGGCUUUGAUCCUAGGGUCUCCGAAUGGGGGAACCCGCCGGCCGUCAUGGGCCGGCACCGCCUAUGGGCGGGGGGUACGCAGGGAAGUGAAACAUCUCAGUACCUGCAGGAAGGGAUACUCCGUGAGUAGUGGCGAGCGAAAGCGGAUCAGACCAAACCGGUUGCGCGUGAUACCCGUCGGGGGUUGCGUUGCCGGUGUCGUGGGAUCACGUGUCCCGGUUCCGACGGGCCGGGCGGGAGUCAUAAAACGGCUUGCCAGGGGAACAGGCUUGAAGGCCUGGCCGUAGAGGGUGCCAGCCCCGUACCUGGACGUGAGCCGUCUUCCGAUCGUGUUGUCCCAAGUAGCGCGGGCCUCGUGGAAUCCCGCGUGAAUCAGCCCAGACCGUUGGGUAAGUCUAAGCAUACCUGUCUGACCGAUAGCGUACCAGUACCGUGAGGGAAAGGUGAAAAGCACCCCGGGAGGGGAGUGAAACAGUUCCUGAAACCGUGCGCCCACAAACCGUCGGAGCCUCCUUGUGGGGUGACGGCGUGCCUAUCGAAAAAUGAGUCUGCGAGUCAGUGGCGGGUGGCGAGCAUAAGCCGUGUGGCGUAUGCGUAGCGAAAGCGAGUCUUAAAAGGCGUUUUCAGUCGCUUGUCCUGGACCCGAAGCGGGAUGAUCUAGCCCUGGGCAGGUUGAAGCGCGGGUAAGACCGCGUGGAGGACCGAACCCACCUGGGUUGAAAACCGGGGGGAUGACCUGGGGCUAGGGGUGAAAGGCCAAUCAAAUUCCGUGAUAGCUGGUUCUCUCCGAAAUGCAUUUAGGUGCAGCGUCGGUCGAUUGCGUCGCGGGGGUAGAGCUACCGGAUGCUUGCGGGCCCUUGUUGGGUACCAACAGCAGCCGAACUCCGAAUACCGUUGACGUGUAUUCCGGCAGUGAGUCGGCGGGGGAUAAGCUCCGUCGUCGAGAGGGAGACAGCCCAGACCGUCGUCUAAGGUCCCGAAGCGUGUGCUAAGUGGGAAAGGAUGUGGAGUCGCAUAGACAGCCAGGAGGUUGGCUCAGAAGCAGCCAUCCUUGAAAGAGUGCGUAACAGCUCACUGGUCUAGUGGUUCCGCGCCGACAAUGUAGCGGGGCUCAAGCACACCACCGAAGACGCGGCAGCAAUCUUCAUGGUUGCUGGGUAGGAGAGCGUCCUGCGAGGGGCGAAGCGGCCGGGUAACCGUGCCGUGGACUUCGUGGGAGUGAGAAUGCAGACAUGAGUAGCGAGAGACGGGUGAGGAUCCCGUCCGCUGGAUGACCAAGGGUUCCGGGGCCACGUUCGUCGUCCCCGGGUGAGUCGGGUCCUAAGGCGAGGCCGACAGGCGUAGUCGAAUGGAUGAACGGGUGGAUAUUCCCGUACCGACCAUGGACCGGCAAAACCGAGACGGUGAGUACUAACCUCCGCCUCGUGGUGGUUCCUUCCUUCGGGUUGGUAUCGCCGCGUGGUGUUGGGACUGUAGCCGUAGUAGGUCAGCGCAGGGGUGACACGGAAUGGGAGCCGGCCGCGGAGGUGGUUUUCCGUGGUCAAGCACGCAGCCAGUCAUGUAGGCAAAUCCGCAUGGCGCGCAUGGCGAGGUGUGAUGAUGGGAGCCGUUAUGGCUCGAUAUCCGGUUGUCCAGGCCGUCGAGAAAAGCCUCGGCGUGAGGGCCAUGGCCGCCCGUACCCCAAACCGACACUGGUGGUCAGGUAGAGAAUACCAAGGCGAUCGAGCGAAUCCUGGUCAAGGAACUCGGCAAAUCACUCCCGUGCCUUCGGUAUAAGGGAGACCCACUGGGGUGAAGGACCUUGCGUCCGGAGCUUUGGUGGGUGGCACAGACCAGGGGGUAGCGACUGUUUACCAAAAACACAGGUGCAUGCGAAGGCGAAAGCCGCUGUAUAUGCACUGACGCCUGCCCGGUGCCGGAAGGUUAAGAGGAUCCGUCAAUCCCUUCGGGGACGAAGCGGUGAAUUCAAGCCCCGGUAAACGGCGGUGGUAACUAUAACCAUCCUAAGGUAGCGAAAUUCCUUGUCGGGUAAGUUCCGACCUGCACGAAUGGCGUAACGA